CUUAUAAGAAUUAACUCUCUCAAUAAUGUCAUCAUUAUACGAUACAGAAAUAUUUUUAAACCUAGAACUGGCAUAAAUAGUAGUGAAAACCAUAAGCUUUGUUUUUUUUUAUAUUUAAAGUAUAUGAAUAUAUAUUUAUAAGUAUAUGAAUAUAUGUUAUUGAUAUGUAUAAAAUAAAUUUAUAAUGUUGAUUAUUAUUGUUAUUUAUUAUAGAAGCGAAACGACGAAAACUUGACGAGUUCUGUUCAAGUACAGAUCCAAGAAUAUACUGCAUUAAACUUGACGAGUUCAGAUGAAGUAGAGGGAUGUUGGAAAUGGUUUGAAAUUUAAUUCCAGCUAUUCUGGCUUGUAGUGGAAGUGCUGCGUUAACAACCUCAGUGUUUUACUGCUCUUGAAAUAAAAAUAAACUCUGUGUUGUAUGUGCCAGAAAAAAAUAGAGAAACUGUAGUUGUUCCUUGAAUGACAUGUACAGUAUUAAUAUGAUGUUAUUAAAAGUGACUGGAAAUAAAUAAUAAAGUAGAUUCAUCAACAAGACAUACGUAGGCUUACUGACAAGCAAUGCACACAAGCAUUCACACUGUUAUUGUUGAAAUAUGAGUUUGCUAAUAAAGAAAGGAAACG